rnacentral:rRNA from 1 species
GACGUAGGGUGCGAGCGUUGUUCGGAUUUACUGGGCGUAAAGGGCGUGUAGGCGGUCGGCCAAGUCUGGUGUGAAAGCCCGGGGCUCAGCUCCGGAAGUGCGCCGGAAACUAGCUGGCUGGAGCGCGGUAGAGGAGGGUGGAAUUCCUGGUGUAGCGGUGAAAUGCGUAGAUAUCAGGAGGAACACCGGCGGCGAAGGCGGCCCUCUGGACCGUUGCUGACGCUGAGACGCGAAAGCGUGGGGAGCAAACAGG